rnacentral:tRNA from 1 species
GGGGCGUUAGCUCAGUUGGUAGAGCGCAUGCUCGACAAGCAUGAGGUCAGUGGUUCGAGCCCACUACGCCCCACCA